rnacentral:rRNA from 1 species
UACAGAGGUCCCAAGCGUUGUUCGGAUUCACUGGGCGUAAAGGGUGCGUAGGUGGUUGGGUAAGUCUGAUGUGAAAUCUCCGAGCUUAACUCGGAAAUGGCAUUGGAUACUAUUCGGCUAGAGGGUUUGAGGGGGGACUGGAAUACUUGGUGUAGCAGUGAAAUGCGUAGAUAUCAAGUGGAACACCAGUGGCGAAGGCGGCUCACUGGCCCGUUACUGACGCUGAGGCACGAAAGCGUGGGGAGCAAACAGG